UAGAGAGUUAUUAGACAACAGAAGGAAUCAAAAGAAAAAGAGAGGCUCAGAUGCGCGAUUUUGUCAUCCAUUUAACAGACAAGGUGAGGACCCAAGUUCUCACUGACUGCACAAUUCAUCUUCACAGCACUCCAUGUUGGACCAGCCGGAAACUAAACCCGCAGCCGGGAAUUGAACCCGGGUCUGUACAGUGGCAGGGUACUAUUCUACCUAAAAACUUGCAGCCAUAAUAAUUAAAAGUCAUAUGGAUGUAAUUCUUGUUACCGGUGAAAAUGUAUCAAAAAAUUAUAGGCCUUCUAGUUGUUUAAAACCCAACAAUUUCUAUUUUGCUUAAUUAUAAGAAAAAGUAUCACAUCCAAACUAUUUGAUAUCAAUAAAUUGAAAAUGUAAUGUUCAGUUGUCCGUUUUUAGAAUGGUAUGUUAUUCAUUGAUCCUCAAUCUCGAAACUUUCAUAUCUAGGGUUAUGUCUUUCAUAAGCUAGAGUUGUGUUAUGUCAUGUCUAAUCACUCCCCCCCCCCCCUCUCUUUCUUUCUCGAUCUACCUCUGUCUCUCCUAAUUCAUGUUACCGUCAAGCUCUCACACCUCCUCUUCACAUGCCCAACUUUUCCAUGCCUAAAAUACAAAUGUUUAUAUAUGCCAAUAUUAGAGAGGUAUCUGUUCUCCAUCCAAUGGCAGAGCUAAACAAAGGGAAGGAAAUUUCCUCCACUGAAAAUUUAUAUUGCUUAAACAUUUUUUUAAAAUAUUUUAAUUCUAUAUAAAUUGUUGAAUCCCUUCGAUAAAAGGAAAAAAUUUAGAGUGAAAUAGCAUAGAGACGUCAAAAAUAACUUUCAGAUCACAUAUUUAAAUCCCACACGUGACAUUCUUUUUUCUUUUUCGUUCUCUUGGCGUAAAUUCCUAAUUCUGCCACUGAUCCUUACAAUUAUAUAAAAUGAUCCUCUUAAAUUUUUCUAUAACAGAAUGUUAGAUUUUUUAGCAUUGGAGAGCUCUAUGUUCAACAGAAUUGAGAAUUAAACUAACUAGUAUAAAUUAUCUAUUCUCUCAGAACCCUUUAUAUUAAUACCAAAAUAUUAUAUUAAUGGGAUUGAAUUAGUUAGAUAUAAUGUGUAAUAUUGCUAGUUAAAAUAAGCUUCUUCAAUCUUCUAAUCCCAGUAUAUUAACCUUCAUAAUUAAGCUUUUCACUGCUCUUUGAUCAGUAUUAUAUUAAUGGGAUUGAAUUAGUUUAAUAUAAAAUCAGAGAAAAGAUUAAUUAGUUAUUUUGGGAGAAAGGUUCACCACGGUAACUUGCUAUCGGGACCUUCAAGUGUCGCCUAGGUGUUGCAUGAUUUUAGUAUUCCAUUUUUCUUUAUUAUUAACAAAGUUUCAUGUCCAAAUUAUUUGAUAUCAAUGAAUUGAAAAUGUAUGUUAUUCAUUGAAAAAUUAAUUGCCUUUAACAUAUACAUAGUACAUGUAGAGGUGCCCUCGACACACUCAAAUCCUUGGUCCGCCUAUUAUGUCCAAGAAUUUCAUUUUCAUUACAUUAAUGAUAUCUAUAAAUUGAUGAAAAUGUAACUUAUUAUUUCAGUUCUUGAUAUAAAAUUAAAUUACUACAGAAGGACAAAUGAAGGAAAUUACUGGCCUAGGCUCACAUCUAUUGACUCUUUGGUAUUUGUCCAUGGGGUAUUUCAUUGGCUUAUUAGUUCGUUAAAGAAAUAUUUUGUAAUGUCAUUUAGUAUUUCAGAUGAGGUGUACAGAGAAAUACCGUUGCCAGAGCAACUCUACUCAAAUUUCUCCAAGUUGUGGGGACGAGGUGUUUCAGAAUUGGGAGGAAUGCUAUGUGCUUAUUCUCAUUGUGUGUCUGGUACAUAGGACGUUUUUAAGUUUUGGUAAUGAAAGACUAUGUCAACGAAUCUUGGACUGAAUUGUUUACUAUACAAGGUAUCGAUCUUCAAUCAGCCAUAACAAAAUAUAUGUUUUCAGAUGGAGAAGUGCUACUCUGUUGCAGAUGUUUGGCUUGUCGUUUUUAUGUCUUUAGGAUGUCCAAAGGAUUAUGGCCUCAAUCUGAUGUCAUUCAGAAAGGAUUCGUUUAUAUAUACAGAAAGUUUGAUCUUCCCAAAACUAAUUAGUUAAUAUUUGCUUAUGUAUGAUGGAGUUGCACUACUUCAUUGACAUAGUGCACCCCACCAAUUGUAGUUCUAAGCUUUUUUGCAUAAAUUUACUCUUUGAUUAGAUCUCAUGAUUUUUCAUUUUAAAAUCUCUGGAAGUUAAGUAUUGAGAUUUGCAUUUAGAAUAUUAAUCAUCAUAUUGAAGAGCAUUAUUUCAUUAAUAUUAUCUUAAAUUAUAAUCACGUGUUGCCUUGGUGUUGCACUACUAGAAGUGAUUAAUUGUUAGGGAUAGAUAGACAGGUAAAAUAAGUAAAUAACAAUAGCAUUCCAAAAACUUUAAUUAAUGGAGAGACCUCAAUCAUCCUACUACUAGGUGGUUACAUUUUACAUGCUUUCAAUAUUAAAGAAAGUAUUUUUUUUUCUUGUUUUGUGUCUUAUUUUGGAGGUUAUGAACCUUAGGAAUAGGUUGAGGCUUGAGCAUCUACACCAUUAACUGUUAGGUUGAGGGUUCGAGUCAUGUUGGAGGGUAAGUGAGAUCACUAUUGAUCUUCCUAAGGUGGGGUGGGGAAAAGAAUUAACUAUAUAUAAACAGCUGAAGGAGGUUCAGAUGAUUCCCCUAAGGCCUAGCUACCUAGCUCCACCCCUAGCUUAAGCUUUUAUGGACAAUUAUUUAAAUUCAUAAAUUCACUACAAAACAAAAACGCCUUUAAAAAAAAUAAUCUUCUCUACAUAGGAUAUAAUCUUUCUUUCACUUGGACGAGCAAUAAGUAUGUCAAGAGCUUCUUGUUUGGUUAACAACUAACGCUACACUACAUUUAUAACAGGAAAAAAUAACAAAAAAAAAUUGAUCAAACAAAAAGCAAGGGAUAAAAGGAGAAACUUACACAACUACACUAUAAAUGCAUAGACACAAAGAGGGUUAAAAAAGAAAGGUUAAAUAGAGAAGAAAGUCCUUUAAGGAAUCAAAGUUAAAUCGAAGUCUAGCCCUGCCCUCCUAGGUAGGGUUGUUCAUGGUUAUGGUUAAAAAACAAAUUGAUCCGCAAUCCGAAUCAAAUCGAUUAAAAUAACUGAUAUUUGAUUUGGUUUGUUUAGAUUUAGUUUUUAAAUUUUGAAAACCAAUACUAUUUAGUUUGAUUUUGGUUUUACUAAAAAAGAACCGCAAAAAUAACAAAAUCGAACCGAGAAAUUAGUUAAUGGAAAGGCUUUUGGUUUCUUUCGUUCGUCCAGAGGUUUAAAGCAAGGAGACCCAUUGUCUCCAACACUAUUUAUAAUAGCAGCGGAGGUCUUAGCAAGGGGACUAAACAGCCUACAUGAGAAGGCUGAGUUCAGGGGCUAUGGGAUGCCUAAAUGGAUCCCCCCCAAUAAAUCAGCUGUCAUACGCAGAUGACACUAUCCUAUUAUGCUCGGGGGACUAGAAAUCAAUUAGUUUGAUGAUGGGUGUGCUAAGGAGAUAUGAAUUGAUAUCAGGCCAGAUGAUAAACCUAAACAAAAGUUUCUAUUACCUUCAUGAUAAUACACCACUCAUCGUGGGGAUGAGAUUAAGGAGGUUAACUGGUAUAAGACAGGGCAACUUCCCUUUCACUUACCUGGGAUGCACGGUCUUUUAUGGCAGAAGGAAGAGAAUAUUCUUUGAAGAGUUAGUCAAGAAGGUUAAAAAUAGACCUCUGAUAUGGUAAAUCAAAUGGCUAUCUUAUGGGGGGAAGUACAUACUAAUAGCUAAUGUCUUACAGUCUAUACCUAUAUACUUGCUAUCAUCUAUGAAUCCACCCAAGAAAACUAUUGAACAAUUACAUCAGCUAAUUGCAGGUUUUUUCUGGAGUAAAAUAGGGAGAGAGAAAGGGAAACACUGGAUAGCAUGGGAUGAGAUGUGAUUUCCAAAGGAAGGAGUUGUUGGAUUUAGAUCAUUGCAUGUAGUUACAAAAUCACUCUUUGGAAAGUUGUGGCGGACUUUCAAAACAUCAAAAUCACUGUGGAGUACAUUCAUGUGGAAUAAAUAUUGUAAAAAACAACACCCUGUUAUGGCUAAGGGGACUGGGGCCUCUCAUGCAUCGAGGAAAAUGAUAGAAAUUAGGGAGGAAGUGGAGCAUGAUAUCUGGUGGCAAAUUAAAUCAGGAGAGCAAGUUUCUGGUUUGAUAAUUGGACAAAGCAAGGAGCAUUAUACUAUAUACAAGAUCACAAUGGAGAGGAAGAGGAAGUGGAGGUGAGACAGUUCAUAGUUAAUGGGGAAUGGGACAGUCACAAACUCAAACAGAUAUUAUCAUAUGAGAUGACAGAACAUAUACUGGAGAAUAUAAGCCUAAGGGUGAAGGAAGGAACAAGAGAUACACCAUGGUGGAUGGGUGAGACUUGUGGUGCUUUUACAGUUAAGUCUACUUAUGAGUGUAUGAGACACAAAAGAGAAAAACACUGGUGGUGGGGUAAAAUCUGGAGUAGGGGUGUGCCUUUUAAGAUCAAUUUUCUUCUGUGGAGGAGUUGGAAAGGAAAAAUAGCCACAGAAGAUAAUCUUAAGAAAAUGUGAAUUAGUAUGGCCUCCAGAUGUUAUUGUUGCAACAAGCCAACAACUAUGAUCAGGAGACAAUCCACCAUUUAUUUUUAACAGCUCCAAUAGCUACUAAUCUAUGGAGACAGUUUGCUAGUUGUGCAAGUAUAAAAUUAGAAGGAGGAUUACCACAGAUAGUCACUAAAUGGUGGACUGCAACAAAAAAUCCUAAGUUACGAACAAUAUAUCAAUUAAUACCAACAGUCCUGAUGUGGGAGCUAUGGAAAAGGAGGAAUGCCAGAAAACAUGGGAAGGAGGUGACUUUCGCAAGGCUAUACCAACAGUGUCAAAACAUGAUCUUUCAAGUAAUGAAGACUGUGUACCCAUGGGUAAGAGUCCCACGAAACUGGGAAGGAAUAGUAGAGGGAUUAAAAGAUUACAGGCCUAAGCUUUAUCACCAUGUCGUAACAUGCAAAAAAAACCACAAUUUGGAUGGAUAAAGUGCAAUAUAGAUGGAGCAAGCAAUGGGAACCCGGGGGAAAGUACAUACAGUUUUUGUGUGAGGAACAAGGAAGGGGACUUGGUAUAUGCUGAGGCUCAAAAUAUUGGAGAGGGCACGAGUAUGGAAGCUGAGAUCAAGGCUAUACACAGGGCUAUGAUAUUCUGCAAAAAUAAUAACUUCACAAGUGUUGUCUUUGAAACAGAUUCACUAAAUACAGCAAAAAUGAUAAGAAAGGAGUGGAGAGUCCCAUGGAAUUACAUAGAGGAAAUAGAGAACAUACAAGAGCUAGCAAAAUAUAUGAAUGUAAGUAUAAAUCAUGUUUUCAGAGAAGCUAAUCAGCUAGCAGACAAGAUAGCCAAUGAAGCAUACAAGCAGCAGGGCAAAAUGGAAAGGCAUAACUUUCAACAGCUACCCGUGGAAUGCAAAAAGAUACUGAAUGCAGAGAAAUCAGACAUACCCACGCUAAGGAUAAAGAAAAGGAAAAUCAAAGCGCAGAAUUGAUAUACAAGAGGAUGCAGCACAUCAAAUACAUUGUUUUCAGCAAAUCUCAAAACGAUUAAGUAUUUUCCAUCGAAGGGUGUACAUAGUUGUGAAUGAAAAUCUACCUAGUCUUGGCUAUGACAGCUCACAAAAAGUUCUCCAGCAGAAAGCGAGGGCCUCUAGGUCAGAUAGGCAACUCUUCAGCAACCAUCCCACCGGAUUGAUCUCUAUAGCAGAAAUGAAGGAAGUUAGGAGAGGAGAAGAGGAAGAAAAAAAACAUUACCUUUGCCAGAUGAGGAAGCACGAGGAGCAAGGGAAGGUAUUAAUGAUCCACAACAACAAGUAGAGGAAUAUCAGACUCCACAGAGCGACAUUGUGAGGAAGAACUGGAACACAAAUUUGGAAACCCGACUUGGGGGGAAUUGUAAUAGUCGGUUGAACAGGGCCUCUUUCCUUUUUGGGCCAGUCCUUUCUAGACUGCCCACGACUUGUAUCUAUUAUCUUAAUUAAUAAAAGGAGCUGGAGCUCCAUAUUGGAUUUUUUAAAAAAACCGAGAAAUUAUAAUAUAUAAAUUUUAUAAUUAUUUAUAUAUUAUUCAUAAAUAAAAUAUAAAUAUUUUGUUAAAUUUUAAUUAACCUAAGUCUUUAAAUUUAUCAUUUCUCAAGCCCAACACAUAAAUUUUAGUAUAUAAUGACUUUAGUAUUACUUAACUAAAUUACUCUGUUUGUUUUGUGUAAUAGUAACUCUAAUAUUGCUAGCUUAAUAGAAUCCACAAAAGCUUUUCUUUGUACUGAUCAUGUACUAGGUGUUUGUGUCUAUCAAGAUGUGUAUGCCCUCAACAAACUUAUUACUUUCAAAUCUAAAAAAUCAAAAAAUCCGAACCAAAUCGACAAUAAUCAAAUUGAUGGUUAUUUUUUGGUUUAGUUAGGUUUGGUUUAAGAAAUUUAAAAAUCAACUAAAUUGGUUUGGUUUUGGUUUUAACCAAUAACCGAUCCAAACCGAACCAUGAACACCCCUACUCCUAUGUAGAGUAUAAGUUAGGAGAUAGUAGGUAUCCAGCAGAAUAGGUCGAGGUCCGUCGACUUCAAAAAUCUAACUCAGAUAUUGCCAUUAGAAGGAAACACACACACAAAAAAUGAAAAAAUAAAUAAAUAGAGAUUCAAUAAAAAAAUUAUUUCCUUAAUUAUAUUUAAUCAAACAAAAAAAUUGAAAAUCAAAAUAAAUGAAAAAAUAGUUUACCCAAAAAUUGAGAAUACUUACGUCACAGACAGUUCACACUAUAUGACGUGUGGCAUCCACUUUAAUUUAUUAUAUUUUAUUCUUUCAUAUUUUGUACUAUCUUUUUAUAUUAUGCUUAAUGUCCUUGUUUUUUUUUUUCACUUUUCUCGUGCAUAGGUUAGCAAAACCUAAACCCAAAUAGCCCUAGAGAAAAAGUGGAAUCUGCUAAAAGAUAUCGCCUUCUUUCUUCAGUUUUUAAUUUCAGUGGGAAAAGAUGGAUGUUGAUGUGGCUACGGACAAACUCAGUAGGCUGCCUGUGCAGUCACUUGUAUGAUUCAAAUGUGUUUCAAAGUUAUGGAUGACAUUGAUUUCCGACCCUUACUUUAAGAUGAAGCAUCUUGUUGGAAUGUAUGCGUCCACUUAUCAGUCAAGGACCAGGUCCUUUGACUCAGCAAGAACAGUAACUAAAUAUAUGUGUCCACUUGUUUCGAUGGGACCAGGUCCUCAGCACAGUUACAAUAACAGACAGUAAAAUACGUGCUGAAAGUAAAGAUUAAACAAAUAACUUUACGUGGAAACCUCCUUGCUCAAGGGAGUAAAACCACGACCUGGCCUGCCAGGACUUUUCAAACUGCUUUCACUAAUCUUCUCCAAGCAAAAGUAAAAGCUAGUUUACAAAAUGAGAUUAGCCUGCUAAUCUCCACACUAAGUAAUACCUUCUAUCACUUAGCUGAGCCAGAGCAGAUACAACACUGCCCACUAAGCUAUCACCCCUAGAUAACUUAGACUUUUCUAAGCGGAUACCACACCGCCCACUAAACUAAUCCUAACAAAUCAAUAUAGACUUUAACCGUAAGACACAAAGUUACUCCUAACUAAGUUCUUACAAGACUCAAACAAAGUUUGAAACGUUUCUAACAACAAUGAAACGAAUCGUACAAGUUAAGCUCAAAUACAAACAAUCAAGAACAACAACAGAUACGGAAAGCUCUCCUUCAGUUGAUCAGGUCCUUGUUGUAUGUGUUCUUGUGCUUGAGUUCUUCCUUGAAGAUGGCUUUGUCUUUUUAAGCUUGUAAAUUUUUGUUUGUCAAAUCUUGAGUUUGUGUUUGUUGGAAAGAGAUCAUAUAUUAAAAUGAACACAAACUCCUUGGAACCGCCCAUUGGCUGAGAGCCUGCUGUUUAGAAAAGUUGUGCACCUACCACAUCAGAAGUGGCAGCUUUUCUGACAACUGUCUUGUCGUCCUUUCACAUCGCAGUCUUGCAGGGACCAGGUCCCUUGCAAACUUCUCUUAGUAAGUUCUUGAGAUUACGUGUUGGCUCUCUCCUUUUGAAUGAAUGAAUUAGUUUGUUGUUUUCCUUGGAUAUAUUUAGACAUGAAAAGUUAUUAUCCAAUGAACAAACAACCUCGUCGCUUCUGAUUGGUGGAGUACUCUACAAUUUCACCAACUCUCUGACGCGGACAGCUUUUACAGCUGUACAGCACUUUGACCACUGGACGAGUAUUUAUACUCUACAGAGGACCAGGUCUCUGCACGUGUGAGGAGAUCAUCAAAACAUCAAAGAACAUAACACAUCUCAAUAAUAUUGGGAAUGACGAAAAUUCCCAAAAAAUUAUUGUUAACCAAUGCUACUCUUAUACUGACAAGGUUUCCUUGUAUUGUUAUUCUUUACCGUCAGUUCAACAGGUUGAGCAAGUACAAAAACUUGAUUGUCCUUCUAAUAAUAAAUCAUGGUGUCACACAUUAUAUUGUUGUUGCGAUGGCUUGGUGCUUAUGGGGAUUUUUUAUUAUCCCGAUAAAUACUUACAACUUUUGCUAUUGAACCCCUCCACGAGAGAAUCAAUACUACUUCCCUUUCCGAAAAUUCUUCCAAAGGACAAUUGUACCUGGGGAUUGGGAUAUGACUCGACUAGUGAUGACUAUAAGAUCCUCAAGAUUGAUGACAAAUCACGCAGUGAAAUUCUCGUGUUGAAAAGUAUAAAUUAUCUACUCUUUCAGAAACCUUUAAAACCAAAAUAUUAUAUUGAUGGGAUUGAAUUAGUUUGAUAUAAAGUUAAAAUAAGCUUCUAAUCCCAGUAUAUUUAACCUUCAUAAUUAAGCUUUUCACUGUUCUUUGAUCAAUAUUAUAUUAAUGGGAUUGAAUUAGAUUAAUAUAAAAUCAAAGAAAAGAUUAAUUAGUCAAUCAUAUCUAGCUCUUCCCACACUGACUAGAAAGAGAGAUUAUAUGUAACAAGUUGCAUAUAAAAUAGCCUUGCGUAACACUUGAAAAUCAAACCUUUCUCGGCCUUUUGGCUAAGAUCAAGUGUAGUAUCUAUUCUUAUUAGUUUAUGUUAGUGAAAAAUUACAAGAUAAUAAAAUUACAAGAUUACAAUUGAAAAUAAAAAUGAAGAAAUAAAUCUCUUCAGGCUGAAGAACGGAUAUCUCACUCUCUUUAAGGAGAUUCAAGCCCACUGCAGCAAAUGUUUUCACCGGUCCAGCAGUAGUCCUCUUUCCCACAAAAAUAUCUUUCUUCACAAUUACAUAUUGAUCAGAUUCAAUAAACUAUUUAAAGCCUGCUUUAUUAAAAAGAAAAGUAGACAUCAAUUUUUUUCUCAUAGAAGGAGUAUAGAGUACAUCUUUCAAAGUUAAUACCCUUCUAAAAGUAAAACACAAUUCGACAUCUCCCGUUUCAAGCACUUGAGUUAUGUGAGAAUCACCAAGCAUGAUGGUUUUGGGCUCCUCAAAAUGAGUAUAUUUUUUAAACCAGUCUUUGUCAUAACAGANNNNNNNNNNNNNNNNNNNNNNNNUGAAGAUAAAUGGCCUUAGGAGUUACAUAGGUUACAAAGAAUAAUGGAGGAAUAAAGAAUGAGAUAAUGGAGAAAUAAUAUGGAGAAGUAAUGGCCAAGAUGCCACUACCGAUGCUGCAAGAAAUGGUCAUAACAUCAGCACUUACUCCGAAAGGAGUAAUGCUCCAAACAACUGCCCAACGGUUAAGACAAGAGAAUUAUCCACCAACGGACAACUUAGUGCUAGGUUAUUUUCACCAUUAUUUUUCUUGGGAGGUCUACUUUUAUUUUUCUUGAUUUUUUUUCUUCUUAGGCUUCAAAGAAGUAUUUUUGUGAGUUUAAUAUAUGAUAUGUGAGCCAUUGACUCACAUGAUAUUAACACUAUUUUAUUUGGGGUAAGGUACACCACAGUAGCUUGCUAUUGGGGCCUUGAGUGAAUCUUGGCCCUUUGCCUCUUCACCAUCGUACUUUUCCACUUUCUCAAGAUGAGAAAUAAGUUCAUAAUUAUCCAUGGAGGUGUCAUCAACUUUAUUAGGAUUCUUCUCAGUUAACACAUAAGAAACAUUGAGAAGACUUAAGUAGAAAAGUACUUUACCCUUCCAUCUUUUGAAAUGGUUACCAUUGAACCGAAAUGGCUUGUAAAAGGCUCCCAUCUUGACAUCCGCGGUUUUUUUUAAUUGUAGUCUUUCUGAAUUCUCCUUAAAAAUUGGAAGUGAAAAAUUACAAGAUUACAAUUGAAAAUAAAAAUGAAGAAAUAAAUCUCUUCAGGCCCCUUGACCAUCACAAAGACGUUUUCCUAUGUACUAAACACAUCCGAAGAGUUUGCUUAGAUCGGAGGGUCCUUUGGAAACCCAGUGCAACAAAUGUUGUCAUCGGUCCAGCAGUAGUCCUCUUGACUUGUCCCCUCCAGGAUACAACAGUCUUCACAAAGUAUAACUCAACAAGUGAGCAAAUACCAAACAAGAUCAUAGGCAUAUGAGAGAUAAAUAGAACAAAACUAACCAUAAGAAAACACAUAUCAAAGUAAAAUAUUUGCCUUGCUUGGCACACCCGCACCAAUUUAAUUUUAGAUUUUUCUUCGGAUAAUAACCACCACUACUUAUACUAGAAGAAGUCUUCCUAGCAAUGAAUAGUUUUGAAAAAAUUCAAAAUAUGACGAGGUAGAUUUUAACUUGGAGUCUUUAAUUAUUACUUGGAUCCUACUAAUGAACGUUAGAUUAAUUAACAUCCUUAUUUUAAGAGUGAAAUAAAAUUACAUUUUUUUGAUAUGGAGAAGUAAUGGCCUAAAUGCCACUACCGAUGCUGCAAGAAAUGGUCAUAACAUCAGCACUUACUCCGAAUGGAGUAAUGCUCCAAAUAACUGCCCAACGGUUAAGACAAGAGAAUUAUCCACCAACGGACAACUUACAGCAAAUGCAAUACUUUGACUCCAAACAUUUCAAGCAAAUUAUGAUACAAAAAUAUUGAUAUUAAAAUGCUGACCAACAGUUUAAUAUAUAAUAUGUGAGCCAUUGACUCACAUGAUAUUAACUCUAUUUUUUUAGGGGUAAGGUACACCACAGUAGCUUGCUAUUGGGGCCUUCAAGAAUUGCCUUGGCGUUGCACUAUAACAUUGGCCUGGCGCACCCUACCAAUUCUAGUUCUAAGCUUCUUUUUUGAAAUUCUAUAUUUAUUUGGUGUUAGAGUUUCGUACAAGGCACGUUUAUUAUAUCUUCCCCACUCAACCCCCUACCCUUGACUAUCACAAACAUGUUUUCCUUUGUACCAAACACAUCCGAGGAAACAAUCUUUGUAUUACACCUUUGUACCAAACACCUUUGAACGUCUUUGUACCCAGGCACGUUCAUUAUAUCUUCCCCACUCAACACCUCAACCCCCUACCCUUGACCAUCACAAAGACGUUUUCCUAUGUACUAAACACAUCCGAAGAGUUUGCUUAGAUCGGAGGGUCCUUUGGAAACAAUCUUUGUACUACAAAAUAUUAAUCUUUACCCUUGUGAGCAAAUACCAAACAAGAUCAUAGGCAUAUGAGAAAUAAAAUAGAACAAAACUAACCAUAAGAAAACGCAUAUCAAGGUAAAAAUUUUGGCUUGCUUGGCACACCCGCACCAAUUUAAUUUUAGAUUUUUCUUCGGAUAAUUGUUAUUUAAUUAUUAUUCUAAUAUUUAGGAUUUUGAAAUUUUGAAAAAAUUCAAAAUAUGACGAGGUAGAUUUUAACUUGGAGUCUUUAAUUAUUACUUGGAUCCUACUAAUGAACGUUAGAUUAAUUAACAUCCUUAUUUUAAGAGUGAAAUAAAAUUACAUUUUUUUCACUUUAGCAAAACCCUACCUAGAGAAAAGUGGAAGCUGCAAAGACGACACAAAAAACAACUUCUUUCAAAGGUAUCUCUCUAAAUAUUCACCUUUUACUAUCUCGAUUAUUUUGCCGAAUACCUUUUGACGGAUUUUAUAUAUAUGUAUAUAUUAUACAACUGGAGGCUAUUUUUAAUUUAAGUUGAUGAGUUGUUUAGGCUAAAUCUUCAAUUUUAAAUUUCAGGGGAAAAUAGUUGUGAAACAUUCAAAUUAAAGAAAACAAAAAAGAUGGAUGUUGAUGUGGAUAUCGAAGUCCUCAACAGGCUACCUGUGCGGUCACUUCUACGAUUCAAAUGUGUUUCAAAGUUAUGGAUGACGUUGAUUUCCGACCCUAACUUUAAGAUGAAGCAUCUCAAUCAUGCCAAGAAUGACGAAAAUUCCCAAAAAAUCCUUGUUAACCAACAGUACCCUUAUAUUGAGGAAUUUUCCUUGUAUUGUUCUUCUUUAUCGUCAGUUCAACAGGUUGAGCAUCCACACAAAUUUGAUUGUCCUUCUCACAUUAAAUCAUGGCAUCACACAUUAUAUUGUUGUUACCAUGGCUUGGCUCUUCCUUGACCAUCACAAAGAGGUUUUCCUAUGUACCAAACACACCCGAAGAGUUUGCUUAGAUCGGAGGGUCCUUUGGAAACAAUCUUUGUACUACAAAAUAUUAAUCUUUACCCUUAUGAGCAAAUACCAAACAAGAUCAUAGGCAUAUGAGAAAUAAAAUAGAACAAAACUAACCAUAAGAAAACGCAUAUCAAGGUAAAAAUUUUGGCUUGCUUGGCACACCCGCACCAAUUUAAUUUUAGAUUUUUCUUCGGAUAAUUGUUAUUUAAUUAUUAUUCUAAUAUUUAGGAUUUUGAAAAUUCAAAAAAAUUCAAAAUAUGACGAGGUAGAUUUUAACUUGGAGUCUUUAAAUAUUACUUGGAUCCUACUAAUGAACGUUAGAUUAAUUAAUAUCCUUAUUUUAAGAGUGAAAUAAAAUUACAUUUUUUUCACUUUAGCAAAACCCUACCUAGAGAAAAGUGGAAGCUGCAAAGACGACACAAAAAACAACUUCUUUCAGAGGUAUCUCUCUAAAUAUUCACCUUUUACUAUCUCGAUUAUUUUGCCGAAUACCUUUUGACGGAUUUUAUAUAUAUGUAUAUAUUAUACAACUGGAGGCUAUUUUUAAUUUAAGUUGAUGAGUUGUUUAGGCUAAAUCUUCAAUUUUAAAUUUCAGGGGAAAAUAGUUGUGAAACAUUCAAAUUAAAGAAAACAAAAAAGAUGGAUGUUGAUGUGGAUAUCGAAGUCCUCAACAGGCUACCUGUGCGGUCACUUCUACGAUUCAAAUGUGUUUCAAAGUUAUGGAUGACGUUGAUUUCCGACCCUAACUUUAAGAUGAAGCAUCUCAAUCAUGCCAAGAAUGACGAAAAUUCCCAAAAAAUCCUUGUUAACCAACAGUACCCUUAUAUUGAGGAAUUUUCCUUGUAUUGUUCUUCUUUAUCGUCAGUUCAACAGGUUGAGCAUCCACACAAAUUUGAUUGUCCUUCUAACAUUAAAUCAUGGCAUCACACAUUAUAUUGUUGUUACCAUGGCUUGGCUCUUAUAGGGUUUUAUAACUAUAAACUAGACUUCCUACCUUUGCUAUGGAACCCUUCCACAAGAGAAUCAAUAGUCCUCCCCCCUCCGAAAAUUCUUCCAAAUGACUAUUGUACGUGGGGAUUGGGAUAUGACUCAGCUAGUGAUGACUAUAUGAUCCUUAAGAUUGAUGAAAAAUCACGUAGUGAAAGUCUCGCGUUGAAAAGUGGUUCCUGGAGAUUAAUGGAUAAACAUCCUAUUUGUGACGUUCACCCUAUGCUUACGUCUACCGACUCUUUGGUAUUUGUCCACGGAGCAUUUCAUUGGCUUAUUAAUUCCUUAAGGAAAUAUUAUGUGGUGUCAUUUGGUAUUUCAGACGAGGUGUAUAGAGAGAUACCCUUGCCAGAGCAAAUAUACUUGAAAAAGUUUCGGGAACCGGGUGUUUCAGUAUUGGGAGGAAUGCUUUGUGCUUAUUCUCAUUACGUAUCUCGUAUAGAGGAUGUUUUUAUGUUUUGGGUAAUGAAAGACUAUGUCAGUGAGUCUUGGACUGAAUUGUAUACUAUACAAGGUACCGAUCUUAAAUCAGCCAUACCAAAAUAUAUGUUUUCAGAUGGAGAAGUGCUACUGUGUUGCAGACAUUUGCGUCGUUGUUAUUAUGAAUUUAGGCCAUCUAAAGGACCGUUUGGAGUAUGGCCUCAAUCUAAUGUCAUUCUGAAAGGAGUUUAAGUUGACGAGUUGUUUAGGUUAAAUCUUCAAUUUUAAAUUUCAGGGGAAAAUAGUUGUGAAACAUUCAAAUUAAAGAAAACAAAAAUGAUGGAUGUUGAUGUGGAUACCGAAGUCCUCAACAGGCUACCUGUGCGGUCACUUCUACGAUUCAAAUGUGUUUCAAAGUUAUGGAUGACGUUGAUUUCCGACUGAUCAAGUUACUUUUUCUUUUUAAGGUAAUAAUAUUGUUACAACAUCAUUUGUGUUAGUAUUCUUUUGCUUGUAAAUAUCGAAUGAGACUCAUCUUAUGCACUCGAACAACACAAUACAAAUAGUAAACGAAGAAAGAAAGAAGUCAGUUAAGACCAAGCGAACGCUUAGUUAAAAAAAUGGAUAGUAUAAGGGUUAACCAAAAACAGAGAGGAACAGAGUUUAAAGCAGAAACGCAACCAUCAAGUCUAGUAUCUGUUCUUGAUUCAACGACUCACACACACGAUAUUAGCUCUAUAUUUUGAGGGUGGAGGUCCAUCAGGGUAGCUUGCUAUCGGGGACUUCAAAUUUCUGAAAAUUCAACUUCAAGUUGAAAAAAGUUUUAAAACAAAAUUCAUGGCCUUUUAACGUAAUAUCCCCCCCCCCCCCCCCCACAAUCACGCAGUGAAAGUCUCGCGUUGAAAAGUGGUUCCUGGAGAUUAAUGGAUAAACAUCCUAUUCGUGACGUUCACCCUAUGCUUACGUCUACCGACUCUUUGGUAUUUGUCCACGGAGCAUUUCAUUGGCUUAUUAAUUCCUUAAGGAAAUAUUAUGUGAUGCCAUUUGGUAUUUCAGACGAGGUGUAUAGAGAGAUACCCUUGCUAGAGCAAAUAUACUUGAAAAAGUUUCGGGAACCGGUGUUUCAGUAUUGGGAGGAAUGCUUUGUGCUUAUUCUCAUUACGUGUCUCGUAUAGAGGACGUUUUUAUGUUUUGGGUAAUGAAAGACUAUGUCAGUGAGUCUUGGACUGAAUUGUACACUAUACAAGGUACCGAUCUUAAAUCAGCCAUACCGAAAUAUAUGUUUUCAGAUGGAGAAGUGCUACUGUGUUGCAGACAUUUGCGUCAUUGUUAUUAUGAAUUUAGGACAUCUAAAGGACCGUUUGGAGUAUGGCCUCCAUCUAAUGUCAUUCUGAAAGGAUUCGUUUAUACAGAAAGUUUGAUCUUUCCAAAUUUAAUUAGUUAGGACUUAGGAGUAUUUGCCUAUGUACGAUCAAGUUACUUUUUCUUUUUAAGGUAAUAAUAUUGUUACAACCUCAUUUGUGUUAGUAUUCUUUUGCUUCUAAAUAUCGAAUGAGACUCAUCUUAUGCACUCGAACAACACAAUACAAAUAGUAAACGAAGAAAGAAAGAAGUCAGUUAAGACCAAGCGAACGCUUAGUUAAAAAAAUGGAUAGUAUAAGGGUUAACCAAAAACAGAGAGGAACAGAGUUUAAAGCAGAAACGCAACCAUCAAGUCUAGUAUCUGUUCUUGAUUCAAUGACUCACACACACGAUAUUAGCUCUAUAUUUUGAGGGUGGAGGUCCAUCAGGGUAGCUUGCUAUCGGGGACUUCAAAUUUCUGAAAAUUCAACUUCAAGUUGAAAAAAGUUUUAAAACAAAAUUCAUGGCCUUUUAACGUAAUAUCCCCCCCCCCCCCCCCCACCCUAUUUGUGACGUUCACCCUAUGCUUACGUCUACCGACUCUUUGGUAUUUGUCCACGGAGCAUUUCAUUGGCUUAUUAAUUCCUUAAGGAAAUAUUAUGUGGUGUCAUUUGGUAUUUCAGACGAGGUGUAUAGAGAGAUACCCUUGCCAGAGCAAAUAUACUUGAAAAAGUUUCGGGAACCGGGUGUUUCAGUAUUGGGAGGAAUGCUCUGUGCUUAUUCUCAUUAUGUGUCUAAUACGGAGAUCAUUUUUAAAUUUUGGGUAAUGAAAGACUGUCAACGAAUCUUGGACUGAAUUGUUUAGUAUACAAGGUACCGAUCUUCAAUCAGCCAUACCAAAAUAUACGGAAAUAAUUUUUGCUAGGGUUCUUUCUAAUAUUUUGUAUUAAAUCUUCAAUUUUUAAUUUUAGUGGAAAAGAGUUGCAAAACAUUCCAGAAGUGCUACUGUGUUACGGACAUUUACAUCGCUGUACUUAUGUAUUUAAGACAUCCAAAGGACCGGUUGGAGUAUGGCCUCAAUCUAAUGUCAUUCUGAAAGGAUUCGUUUAUACAGAAAGUUUGAUCUUUCCAAAUUUAAUUAGUUAGGACUUAGGAGUAUUUGCCUAUGUAUGAUCAAGUUACUUUUUCUUUUUAAGGUAAUAAUAUUGUUACAACAUCAUUUGUGUUAGUAUUCUUUUGCUUCUAAAUAUCGAAUGAUGGUAGUUCCCAAAAAAUUCUUGUUCACAUAUGGUACCCUAGAUAUGAUGAUUUUUCCUUGUAUUGUUCUUCUUUAUCGUCAGUUCAACAAUUUCUACAUAUUUUUCUACUUUUGAUAUGAUACGUUAUUUCCUUGCUUAAUUUUAUAUUUAAAAAACAAAAAAAAAUCAAAAUCAAAAUAAAAGAAAAAAUAAUUUACCAAAAAAUUGAGAAUACUUACUUCACAGUUCACAUUAUAUGAAGUGUGACGUCCAUAUUAAUUUAUUAUUUUUUAUCUUUUUAUAUUAUGCCUCUUCUUUUUUUCACUUUUGUGGUGCAGUAGGUUAACAAAAACCUAAAGUCAAAUAAUCCUAGAGAAAAAUUGAAAGCUGCUAAGAGGAUACAAAAGAGGUAUCCACUUCUUUCUUCAAUUUUUAAUUUCAGAGGUAAAAGAUGGAUCGACGUUCACCCCAUGCUUGAAAAGUGGUUCCUGGAGAUUACUUGAUAAGCAUCCUAUUGACGUUCACCCUAUGCUUAUGUCUACCGACUCUUUGGUAUUUGUCCAUGGGGCAUUUCAUUGGCUUAUUAGUUCGUUAACGAAAUAUUCUGUGAUGUCAUUUAGUAUUUCAGACGAGGUGUAUAAAGAGAUACCAUUGCCAGAGCAACUGUACUCGAAUUUCUCCAGGUUGUUUGGAAGGGGUGUUUCAGUAUUGGGAGGAAUGCUCUGUGCUUAUUCUCAUUAUGCGUCUAAUACGGAGAACAUUUUUAAAUUUUGGGUAAUGAAAGACUAUGUCAACGAAUCUUGGACUGAAUUGUUUAGUAUACAAAGUACCGAUCUUCAAUCAGCCAUACCAAAAUAUAUGUUUUCGGAUGGAGAAGUGCUACUGUGUUGCGGUCAUUUACAUAGCUGUACUUAUGUAUUUAAGACAUCCAAAGGACCGGUUGGAGUAUGGCCUCAAUCUAAUGUCAUUCUGAAAGGAUUCGUUUAUACAGAAAGCUUGAUGUUCCCAAAAUUAAUUAGUUAGGAGUAUUUGCCUAUGUAUGAUGGAGUUAUUUUUCAUUUCAAGGUAAUCUAGUUACAUCCUCAUUUGUGUUUCAUUUUAGUAGUCUGCUUUUGCUUGUAAAUAUCGAAUUGUUUUGAAUAUUUAAACGAUAUGAGAAAAAGAUUUACCUUUAGAAAAAUUUGCUACAUAUUUUUCUACAUUUGAUAUGAUUCGUUAUUUCCUUGCUUGAUUUUAUAUUUAAAAACAAAAAAAAAUCAAAAUCAACAAAAUAAAAGAAAAAAUAGUUCACCAAAAAAUUGAGAAUACUUACUUCACAGUUCACAUUAUAUGAAGUGUGACGUCCAUAUUAAUUUAUUAUUUUUUAUCUUUUUAUAUUAUGCUUUUUUUUUCACUUUUGUGGUGCAGUAGGUUAACAAAAACCUAAAGUCAAAUAACCCUAGAGAAAAAUUGAAAGCUGCUAAGAGGAUACAAAAGAGGUAUCCACUUCUUUCUUCAAUUUUUAAUUUCAGAGGUAAAAGAUGGAUGUUGAUGUGGCUACGGACAUUCUCAGUAGGCUACCGGCCUACCUGAGCGGUCAUUUCUACGAUUUAAAUGUGUUUCAAAAUUUUGGAUGACAUUGAUUUCUAAGCCUUACUUUCAGAUAAAGCAUCUCAAUCAUGGGAAUGAUGAAAAUUCCCAAACAAUCCUUGUUAACCAAUGGUACUCUCCAAAUGAGAAUUUUUCCUUACAUUGUUCUUCUUUAUCGUCAGUUCAACAGGUUGAGCAACUACACAAACUUGAUUGUCCUUCUAACAGUAAAUUAUAUUGUUGUUUCCAUGGUUUGGCCCUUAUAGGGUUUUAUAAGUAUAAAGUAGACUUCCUACUUUUGUUAUGGAACCCCACCACAAGAGAAUCAAUAGUCCUAUCCCGUCCGGAAAUUUUUCCAAGGGACUAUUGUACUUGGGAUUGGGAUAUGACUCAACUAGUGAUGACUAUAACAUCCUUAAGAUUGAUAACAAAUCAUGCAGUGAAAUUCUCGCAUUGAAAAGUGGUUCCUGGAGAAUAAUGGAUAAACAUCCUAUUGACGUUCAACCUAGGCUCACAUCUACUGACUGUUUGGUAUUUGUCCAUGGGGCAUUUCAUUGGCUUAUUAGUUCGUUAAAGAAAUAUUAUGUGAUGUCAUUUAGCAUUUCAAAUGAGGUGUACAGAGAAAUAUUGUUGCCAGAGCAACUCUACUCAAAUUUCUCCAAGUUGUGGGGAUGAGGUGUUUCAGAAUUGGGAGGAAUGCUAUGUGCUUAUUCUCAUUGUGUGUCUAGUACAGAGGACGUUUUUAAGUUUUGGGUAAUGAAAGACUAUGUCAACGAAUCUUGGACUGAAUUGUUUACUAUACAAGGUAUCGAUCUUCAAUCAGCCAUACCAAAUUAUAUGUUUUCGGAUGGAGAAGUGCUACUCUGUUGCAGAUGUUUGAAUUGUCGUUUUUAUGUCUUUAGGACGUCCAAAGGAUUAUGGCCUCAAUCUGAUGUCAUUCAGAAAGAAUUCGUUUAUACAGAAAGUUUGAUCUUCCCAAAAUUAAUUAGUUAGUAUUUGAGCGGUCAUUUCUACGAUUUAAAUGUGUUUCAAAAUUUUGGAUGACAUUGAUUUCUAAGCCUUACUUUCAGAUAAAGCAUCUCAAUCAUGGGAAUGAUGAAAAUUCCCAAACAAUCCUUGUUAACCAAUGGUACUCUCCAAAUGAGAAUUUUUCCUUACAUUGUUCUUCUUUAUCGUCAGUUCAACAGGUUGAGCAACUACACAAACUUGAUUGUCCUUCUAACAGUAAAUUAUAUUUCAAAACCUAAACCCAAAUAACCCUAGAGAAAAAGUGGAAUCUGCUAAAAGGUAUCGCCUUCUUUCUUCAGUUUUUAAUUUCAGUGCUAUGAAACCCCACCACAAGAGAAUCAAUAGUCCUAUCCCGUCCGGAAAUUUUUCCAAGGGACUAUUGUACUUGGGAUUGGGAUAUGACUCAACUAGUGAUGACUAUAACAUCCUUAAGAUUGAUAACAAAUCAUGCAGUGAAAUUCUCGCAUUGAAAAGUGGUUCCUGGAGAAUAAUGGAUAAACAUCCUAUUGACGUUCAACCUAGGCUCACAUCUACUGACUGUUUGGUAUUUGUCCAUGGGGCAUUUCAUUGGCUUAUUAGUUCGUUAAAGAAAUAUUAUGUGAUGUCAUUUAGCAUUUCAAAUGAGGUGUACAGAGAAAUAUUGUUGCCAGAGCAACUCUACUCAAAUUUCUCCAAGUUGUGGGGAUGAGGUGUUUCAGAAUUGGGAGGAAUGCUAUGUGCUUAUUCUCAUUGUGUGUCUGGUACAGAGGACGUUUUUAAGUUUUGGGUAAUGAAAGACUAUGUCAACGAAUCUUGGACUGAAUUGUUUACUAUACAAGGUAUCGAUCUUCAAUCAGCCAUACCAAAUUAUAUGUUUUCGGAUGGAGAAGUGCUACUCUGUUGCAGAUGUUUGAAUUGUCGUUUUUAUGUCUUUAGGACGUCCAAAGGAUUAUGGCCUCAAUCUGAUGUCAUUCAGAAAGAAUUCGUUUAUACAGAAAGUUUGAUCUUCCCAAAAUUAAUUAGUUAGUAUUUGCUUAUGUAUGAUGGAGUUGCACUACCUCAUUGACAUAGUGCAACCCACCAAUUCUAGUCCUAUGCAUUUUUGCAUAAAUUUACUCUUUGAUUAGAUCUCAUGAUUCUUCAUUUUAAAAUCUCUGGAAGUUAUAGUAUUUAGAUUUGCAUUUAGAAUAUUAAUCAUCAUAUUGAAGAGCAUUAUUUCAUUAAUAUUAUCUUUAACUAUAAUCACGCGUUGCCUUGGUGUUGCACUACUAGAGGUGAUUAAUUGUUGGGGAUAGAUAGACAGGUAAAAUAAGUAAAUAACAAUAGCAUUCCAAAAACUUUAAUUAAUGGAGAGACCUCAAUCAUCCUACUACUAGGCGGUUACAUUUUACAUGCUUUCGAUAUUAAAGAAAAUAUUUUUUCUUGUUUUGUGUCUUAUUUUGGAGGUUAUAAACCUUAGGAAUAGGUUGAGGCUUGAGCAUCUCCACCAUCAACUAGUAGGUUGAGGGUUUGAGUCAUGUUGGAGGGACUAGUUGAAGGUUUGAGUCAUGUUGGAGGGACUAGUUGAAGGUUCGAGUCAUGUUGGAGGGUAAGUAACAACUGAAGGAGGUUCAUAUGAAUCCCUUAAGGCCUACCUGGCUCCACCCUUAGCGAGGACGUUUUUAAGUUUUGGGUAAUGAAAGACUAUGUCAACGAAUCUUGGACUGAAUUGUUUAGUAUACAAGGUACCGAUCUUCAAUCAGCCAUACCAAAAUAUAUGUUUUCGGAUGCAUCAACUACACUAUAAAUGCAUAGACACAAAAAGGGUAAAGCAAAAAAGGUUAAAUAGAGAAGAAAGUCCUUUGAGGAAUCAAAGUCUAGCCCUCCCCUCUUAUGUAGGGCUGUUCAUGGCUAUGGUUAAAAAAAUAAAUCGAUCUGCAAUUCGAAUCAAAUCGAUUAAAAUAUCUGAUAUUUAAUUUGGUUUGACUAGGUAUAACAAGGUACUAAUUAUACAUCAAACUAAUGUAGACAUUAUUUUCUCCAAUACACUCUACCAAACGACCCCUUAUUACUUUCAAAUCUAAAAAAUAAAAAAAUUCGAACCAAACCGACAAUAACCAAACUGAUGGUUAUUUUUUUGGUUUAGUUAGGUUUGGUUUAAGAAAUUUAAAAAUCGACUAAAUUAAUUUGAUUUUGGUUUUAACCAAUAACAGAUCUAAACCGAACCAUAAACACCCUACUCCUAAGUAGAGUAUAAGUUAGGAGAUAGUAGGUAUAGGUCGAGGUACGUCGACUUCAAAAAUCUAACUCAGAUAUUGCCAUUACAAGGAAAACACACACACAAAAAGAAAAAAAAUUAAAUUUAGAUUCAAUAAAAAAAAUUAUUUCCUUAAUUUUAUAUUUAAUCAAACAAAAAAAUUGAAAAUCAAAAUAAAUGAAAAAAUAGUUUACCCAAAAAUUGAGAAUAUUUACUUCACAGACAGUUCACACUAUAUGACGUGUGACAUCCACAUUAAUUUAUUAUUUUUUGUUCUUUUAUAUUUUGUACUAUCUUUUUAUAUUAUGCUUAAUUUCCUUGUUUUGUUUUUUUUUCACUUUUCUCGUGCAUAGGUUAGCAAAACCUAAACCCAAAUAGCCCUAGAGAAAAAGUGGAAGGUAUCGCCUUCUUUCUUCAGUUUUUAAUUUCAGUGGGAAAAGAUGGAUGUUGAUGUGGCUACGGAUAUCCUCAGUAGGCUACCUGUGCGGUCACUUCUACGAUUCAAAUGUGUUUCAAAGUUAUGGAUGACAUUGAUUUAUGACCCUUACUUUAAGAUGAAGCAUCUCAAUAAUACCAGGAAUGACGAAAAUUCCCAAAAAAUUCUUGUUAACCAAUGCUACUCUUAUACUGACAAGGUUUCCUUGUAUUGUUAUUCUUUAUCGUCAAUUCAACAGGUUGAGCAAGUACAAAAACUUGAUUGUCCUUCUAAUAAUAAAUCAUUGUGUCACACAUUAUAUUGUUGUUACGAUGGUUUGGUGCUUAUGGGGAUUUUUUAUUAUCCUGAUAAAUACUUACAACUUUUGCUAUUGAACCCCUCCACAAGAGAAUCAAUACUACUUCCCUUUCCGAAAAUUCUUCCAAAGGACAAUUGUACCUGGGGAUUGGGAUAUGACUCGACUAGUGAUGACUAUAAGAUUCUUAAGAUUGAUGACAAAUCACACAGUGAAAUUCUCGCGUUGAAAAGUGGUUCUUGGAGAUUAACGAAUAAACAUCCUAUUGAUGAAUUCGCCCUAUGCUUACAUCUACAGACUCUUUGGCAUUUGUACAUGGGGCAUUUCAUUGGCUUAUUAGUUCGUUAACAAAAUAUUAUGUGAUGUCAUUUAGUAUUUCUGACGAGGUGUACAGAGAUAUACCAUUGCCAGAGAAAAUGUACUCGAAUUUCUCAAAAUUUUGUGGACGGGGUGUUUCAAUAUUGGGAGGAAUGCUUUGUGCUUAUUCUCAUUGUGUGUCUGAUUGGAAGGACAUGUUUAAAUUUUGGGUCAUGAAAGACUAUGUCAACGCAUCUUGGACUGAAUUGUUUACUAUACGAGGUCUCGAUCUUCAAUCAGCCAUACCAAAAUAUAUGUUUCCGGAUGGAAAAGUGUUACUGAGUUGCAGAAAUUUGUUUGGUUGUUCUUAUGUCUUUAGGACAUCCAAUGGACUAUUUGGAUUAUGGCCUCGAUCUGAUGUCGUUCAGCAAGGAUUCGUUUAUACAGAAAGUUUGAUCUUCCCGAAAUUAAUUAGUUAGUAUUUGCUUAUGUAUGAUGGAGUCGUUAUCUUGUUAUAACCUCUUUGGUGUUUUCUUCUUCUGUAUCAAAUCUGAGUAUUAUGUUGCAUCAUUUUGUUUAUAAGCCUGGUGAUCAACGAAAAUUAAUUAUUAAGGAGAUGGACCGAUAAAACAAAAAAGAAAGGCUCAGAUGCGCGAUUUUGUCGUCUGAUUUCAGACAUGGAGAGACCCGGGUCUGUACAGUGACAGGGUACUAUUCUACCACUAGACCAC
rnacentral:lncRNA from 1 species